UACGGAGGGGGCUAGCGUUGUUCGGAAUUACUGGGCGUAAAGCGCACGUAGGCGGCGCGACAAGUCAGAGGUGAAAGGCCUGGGCUCAACCUGGGAACUGCCUUUGAGACUGGCGUGCUUGAGUUCGGGAGAGGGUGAUGGAAUUCCCAGUGUAGAGGUGAAAUUCGUAGAUAUUGGGAAGAACACCGGUGGCGAAGGCGGUCACCUGGCCCGUAACUGACGCUGAGGUGCGAAAGCGUGGGGAGCAAACAGG
rnacentral:misc_RNA from 1 species